rnacentral:rRNA from 1 species
CUGGCUCAGAACGAACGCUGGCGGCAGGCUUAACACAUGCAAGUCGAACGGUUGCAGCAAUGCAGCAGUGGCAGACGGGUGAGUAACACGUGGGAACCUUCCUAGGGGUACGGAACAACUCAGGGAAACUUGAGCUAAUACCGUAUACGUCCGUGAGGAGAAAGAUUUAUCGCCCUUAGACGGGCCCGCGUCGGAUUAGCUAGUUGGUGGGGUAACGGCCUACCAAGGCGACGAUCCGUAGCUGAUCUUAGAGGAUGAUCAGCCACACUGGGACUGAGACACGGCCCAGACUCCUACGGGAGGCAGCAGUGGGGAAUCUUGGACAAUGGGCGCAAGCCUGAUCCAGCCCAUGCCGCGUGAGUGAAGAAGGUCUUCGGAUUGUAAAGCUCUUUUGCCAGGGACGAUAAUGACGGUACCUGGAGAAUAAGCCCCGGCAAACUUCGUGCCAGCAGCUGC